GCCGCCCGCGCCGCAGCCGUCCGGGUCUCGGAGCGAGUCCACGUGCGCCAGCCAGACCCAAGCAGAGGGAGCGCCCGGGCACUCGCGAGGAAAUGGCGGGUGAGGCGCUGUUCAGGGUUAGGGAAAAGUGUGGGGCGAGUUACACCCCGAGAGGGGAGAGUAGAGAAGGUAAGGCUUUCGGGACGGAAAGGAGAGAGGGAGGAUCGUGAGCUAGCACAACCCGAUGGCCACGGAGGCCAAAGAGACGAUGGAAUGCCUUCAGGAGUUCCCUGAACAUCAUAAAAUGAUCCUGGACCGAUUGAAUGAACAGCGAGAGCAGGACCGGUUUACUGACAUCACCCUGAUUGUCGACGGACACCAUUUUAAGGCCCACAAGGCUGUUUUGGCUGCUUGCAGCAAGUUCUUUUACAAAUUCUUUCAGGAGUUUACUCAGGAACCUUUGGUGGAGAUAGAAGGUGUUAGUAAAAUGGCCUUUCAUCAUUUGAUUGAGUUCACAUAUACAGCAAAAUUAAUGAUACAAGGAGAAGAAGAAGCCAACGAUGUAUGGAAAACAGCAGAGUUUCUACAAAUGCUAGAAGCUAUCAAAGCCCUUGAAGUCAGGAACAAAGAAAACUCAGCUCCACUAGAGGAAACUAUCACAGGAAAAAGUGAAGCAAAAAAAAGAAAGAUUGCAGAAACUUCAAAUGUUAUCACUGAGUCAUCACCGUCUGCAGAAUCUGAACCUGUUGAAAUCGAGGUGGAGAUUGCUAAGGGCACAAUCGAAGUGGAAGAUGAAGGCACUGAAACGUUAGAGGAUGUGGCUACUGCCAGGCAGUCCAUAACGUAUAUUCAGAGCACAGGUUCCUCUGAUGAUUCUGCUCUGGCAUUAUUGGCAGAUAUCACCAGCAAGUACCGUCAAGGUGAUAGAAAAGGGCAGAUUAAAGAUGAAAAUGGCUGUGCCUCUGACCCCACAAGCAAACAGGUAGAAGGUAUUGAAAUCGUGGAACUUCAGCUGUCACAUGUGAAGGAUUUGUUCCAUUGUGAGAAAUGUAACCGUUCAUUUAAAUUGUUUUACCAUUUCACCUUUCAACAAGCAUGA